AUUGAACGCUGGCGGCAGGCCUAACACAUGCAAGUCGAGCGGAUGAAGGGAGCUUGCUCCUGGAUUCAGCGGCGGACGGGUGAGUAAUGCCUAGGAAUCUGCCUGGUAGUGGGGGAUAACGUCCGGAAACGGGCGCUAAUACCGCAUACGUCCUGAGGGAGCAAGUGGGGGAUCUUCGGACCUCACGCUAUCAGAUGAGCCUAGGUCGGAUUAGCUAGUUGGUGGGUUAAAGGCCUACCAAGGCGACGAUCCGUAACUGGUCUGAGAGGAUGAUCAGUCACACUGGAACUGAGACACGGUCCAGACUCCUACGGGAGGCAGCAGUGGGGAAUAUUGGACAAUGGGCGAAAGCCUGAUCCAGCCAUGCCGCGUGUGUGAAGAAGGUCUUCGGAUUGUAAAGCACUUUAAGUUGGGAGGAAGGGCAGUAAGUUAAUACCUUGCUGUUUUGACGUUACCAACAGAAUAAGCACCGGCUAACUUCGUG
rnacentral:rRNA from 1 species